CAAGAUUCACAGCCCGAAAUUGCAGUUCAGCCCCCACUUCCAGUUCAGCCACAAAUUCCAGUUCAAUUAUAAAUUCCACUUCAGCCACCACCUCAAACAGCCCCAAGACAACCAUUUAAGAUACCUAAACAGAGUAGCAAGACAGAACCAAGUGAGACUAUCACUAGAGGAUUGAAUGUGCAUAAACCAUCACAUGAACAGGUUGUUCAUUUAGAGCAAAUAACUCAACAACCUGUCCAACAAGAACAUCCACAAUCCUCAACAGCUUAUCAGCAACAACCUAAAGUUCUUAAAAAGCAAAACAAGCCAAUAUCUUCUUCAAGUAAAUUGCUUAAGAGACAAGAACAAGAUGCUCCAGAUUAGUCCUCCCAAUUCAAGAGAAAAUAUUGUGUAGAGAGAAAUCCAUCUAUUUCUUCACUGAUCAAGGGUUUGGCCAACUCAUAUAGGCCAAGACAAAAAAAGAAAAAAGAUGAAAAUACUGAUGGAACAUCAAAGCCUAUAGGAAAUGUAUGAGGUGCAAUUGUGGUUCAAUUUUUGUCUAUUUUGUGAUGUUUUAGUGAUGGAUUUUGCAAAAUUGAUGGUUGCAAAUUAGGAUUUUUUGGAUGUAUAGUUGUUGGCAUGGAAAUCUAGU